rnacentral:rRNA from 1 species
UGGGGAAUAUUGCACAAUGGGGGAAACCCUGAUGCAGCAACGCCGCGUGUAUGAAGAAGGCCUUCGGGUUGUAAAGUACUUUCAGCGGGGAGGAAGGUGCUGAGGUUAAUAACCUCAGCAAUUGACGUUACCCGCAGAAGAAGCACCGGCUAACUCCGUGCCAGCAGCCGCGGUAAUACGUAGGUG